rnacentral:rRNA from 1 species
GGGCCCGCACAAGCGGUGGAGCAUGUGGUUUAAUUCGAUGCAACGCGAAGAACCUUACCAGGGUUUGACAUCCUGCGAAUCUCUUGGAAACGAGAGAGUGCCUUCGGGAACGCAGUGACAGGUGGUGCAUGGCUGUCGUCAGCUCGUGUCGUGAGAUGUUGGUUAAGUCCCGCAACGAGCGCAACCCACGUCGUUAGUUGCCAGCAUUUAGUUGGGCACUCUAGCGAGACCGCCGGUGAUAAACCGGAGGAAGGUGUGGAUGACGUCAAGUCAUCAUGCCCCUUACAUCCUGGGCUACACACGUACUACAAUGCUACGGACAAAGGGCAGCAAACUCGCGAGAGCUAG